rnacentral:rRNA from 1 species
AUUGAACGCUGGCGGAAUGCUUUACACAUGCAAGUCGAACGGCAGCACGGGGGCAACCCUGGUGGCGAGUGGCGAACGGGUGAGUAAUAUAUCGGAACGUGCCCAGUCGUGGGGGAUAACGUAGCGAAAGUUACGCUAAUACCGCAUACGAUCUACGGAUGAAAGCGGGGGCUCGCAAGACCUCGCGCGAUUGGAGCGGCCGAUAUCAGAUUAGGUAGUUGGUGGGGUAAAGGCUCACCAAGCCAACGAUCUGUAGCUGGUCUGAGAGGACGACCAGCCACACUGGGACUGAGACACGGCCCAGACUCCUACGGGAGGCAGCAGUGGGGAAUUUUGGACAAUGGGCGCAAGCCUGAUCCAGCCAUUCCGCGUGCAGGACGAAGGCCUUCGGGUUGUAAACUGCUUUUGUACGAAACGAAAAAGCCUUGGCUAAUACCCAGGGUCCAUGACGGUACCGUAAGAAUAAGCACCGGCUAACUACGUGCCAGCCGCCGCCGUAA